ensembl:lncRNA
GUCCCUGUAAUGGCGCAUAGUUAGGCGCAGGAUGAUAUUGCUAUUCAGACGUUGUAGAUCUGGCAGGUGUCAGGAGCGUCUAAUGCCGCGUUCAAAUCAACUGGAAACUAGGAAAUCUCUGAAUACAGUGCGUUCAAGACAGUGAUAAAUCGUUUUGAACGGUCAUCCAACUCGGAAGCCGGCUAAUAGCGAACCGUAACUUUUAUUCCAUUGAAAUAGCAAGUAAUUUACACUAAUAAAACUUUUCUCAAGUGACUAGAUUUCGUACAAACAGCAAUGGAGGCGGAAGAAAUGGUGACUAAAAUCCACAGAAAAGAAUUGCGCAAGCAGAAGUUGAUGGAGUACUUAGCAGUCAAGGGAAAACUGAAGCCCCCCAACCCAAAACCUUAUCUCCGUGAUGACAUUAAAGCAGAGAGAAGCAGCAUGUCUGCAGUGAAGGAUGACGGCUGCCCGUCCACACAGAUGAAGAGGAGGACGGCCGUGACAGAAUCACCCACCGACCAAGGACCUAGGAGGACGGCGUGGUAAACAGCAGCAGCAGCAGCAGCAGCAACAACAGCAAAAACAGCGGCCAGCAUCACAGGACUCCUGGACAUGGGAGGAGAUUCUAGACGGGAGAGGACCCUGGGCACAGGCUGGGGAAUAUCGCCGCCCCAAAGCAGAGCUGGAGGCAGCGAAAGCUGAGCGGCGGCGAUAUGAGGAGGCAGCACGGCAGUGCGACAGGUACGAGAGGCAGCCCCAAAAAAAUUUUUGGGGGGGGCAGACGAGGUGUGGUAGUGAGCCAGGUAGCAGACCUGAGCUCACUCCUCGUGCUUAUUAUAAGCAGCGCAUUACUGGUCAGGCACCGUGUUAUGCGGUUAAGCGCACGGUGUCGCCAGUGCGUGCCCAUAGCCCGG